GGACCUGACUGCUAUCGGAUUGAUACUAAGCCAUGCGAGUCUUUGUAGUAAUACAAGGCAGACGGCUCAGUAACGCGUAGUCAAUCUACCCUAUGGACGAGGAUAACCUCGGGAAACUGAGAAUAAUACUCGAUAGAACAUUAUGCCUGGAAUGGUUUAUGUUCCAAAUGAUUUAUCGCCGUAGGAUGGGACUGCGGCCUAUCAGUUUGUUGGUGAGGUAAUGGCCCACCAAGACUAUUACAGGUACGGGCUCUGAGAGGAGUGGCCCGGAGAUGGGUACUGAGACACGGACCCAGGCCCUAUGGGGCGCAGCAGGCGAGAAAACUUUGCAAUGUGCGAAAGCACGACAAGGUUAAUCCGAGUGGUUUCUGCUAAAGAGACCUUUUGUCGGUCCUAGAAACACCGAUGAAUAAGGGGUGGGCAAAUUCUGGUGU
rnacentral:rRNA from 1 species